rnacentral:rRNA from 1 species
AGACCCGAAACCCGGUGAUCUAGCCAUGGGCAGGUUGAAGGUUGGGUAACACUAACUGGAGGACCGAACCGACUAAUGUUGAAAAAUUAGCGGAUGACCUGUGGCUGGGGGUGAAAGGCCAAUCAAACCGGGAGAUAGCUGGUUCUCCCCGAAAGCUAUUUAGGUAGCGCCUCGUGAAUUCAUCUCCGGGGGUAGAGCACUGUUUCGGCUAGGGGGUCAUCCCGACUUACCAACCCGAUGCAAACUGCGAAUACCGGAGAAUGUUAUCACGGGAGACACACGGCGGGUGCUAACGUCCGUCGUGAAGAGGGAAACAACCCAGACCGCCAGCUAAGGUCCCAAAGUCAUGGUUAAGUGGGAAACGAUGUGGGAAGGCCCAGACAGCCAGGAUGUUGGCUUAGAAGCAGCCAUCAUUUAAAGAAAGCGUAAUAGCUCACUGGUCGAGUCGGCCUGCGCGGAAGAUGUAACGGGGCUAAACCAUGCACCGAAGCUGCGGCAGCGACACUGUGUGUUGUUGGGUAGGGGAGCGUUCUGUAAGCCUGUGAAGGUGGCCUGUGAGGGUUGCUGGAGGUAUCAGAAGUGCGAAUGCUGACAUAAGUAACGAUAAAGCGGGUGAAAAGCCCGCUCGCCGGAAGACCAAGGGUUCCUGUCCAACGUUAAUCGGGGCAGGGUGAGUCGACCCCUAAGGCGAGGCCGAAAGGCGUAGUCGAUGGGAAACGGGUUAAUAUUCCCGUACUUGGUGUUACUGCGAAGGGGGGACGGAGAAGGCUAUGUUGGCCGGGCGACGGUUGUCCCGGUUUAAGCGUGUAGGUGUGUGUUCCAGGUAAAUCCGGUUCACUUUAACACUGAGGCGUGACGACGAGGCACUACGGUGCUGAAGCAACAAAUGCCCUGCUUCCAGGAAAAGCCUCUAAGCAUCAGGUAACAUCAAAUCGUACCCCAAACCGACACAGGUGGUCAGGUAGAGAAUACCAAGGCGCUUGAGAGAACUCGGGUGAAGGAACUAGGCAAAAUGGUGCCGUAACUUCGGGAGAAGGCACGCUGACACGUAG